AACGCUAGCUACAGGCUUAACACAUGCAAGUCGAGGGGUAACGAGAGGGAAGCUUGCUUUCCUUGUCGACGACCGGCGCACGGGUGAGUAACGCGUAUCCAACCUGCCCACAACUAAGGAAUAACCUUGCGAAAGUAAGACUAAUACCUUAUAAUUUCCUCUGAAGGCAUCGGACGAGGAAUAAAGAUUUAUCGGUUAUGGAUGGGGAUGCGUCUGAUUAGCUUGUUGGCGGGGUAACGGCCCACCAAGGCAACGAUCAGUAGGGGUUCUGAGAGGAAGGUCCCCCACAUUGGAACUGAGACACGGUCCAAACUCCUACGGGAGGCAGCAGUGAGGAAUAUUGGUCAAUGGGCGAGAGCCUGAACCAGCCAAGUAGCGUGCAGGAAGACGGCCCUAUGGGUUGUAAACUGCUUUUAUACAGGAAUAAAGUUAGCCACGUGUGGCUAUUUGUAGGUACUGUAUGAAUAAGGACCGGCUAAUUCCGUGCCAGCAGCCGCGGUAAUACGGAAGGUCCAGGCGUUAUCCGGAUUUAUUGGGUUUAAAGGGAGCGUAGGCCGUCUGUUAAGCGUGUUGUGAAAUGUAGAUGCUCAACAUCUGAAUUGCAGCGCGAACUGGCAGACUUGAGUGUGCACAACGUAGGCGGAAUUCGUGGUGUAGCGGUGAAAUGCUUAGAUAUCACGAAGAACUCCGAUUG
rnacentral:rRNA from 1 species